UACGAAGGGGGCUAGCGUUGCUCGGAAUGACUGGGCGUAAAGGGCGCGUAGGCGGUUUGUACAGUCAGAUGUGAAAUUCCUGGGCUCAACCUGGGGGCUGCAUUUGAUACGUAUGGACUGGAGUGAGGAAGAGGGUCGUGGAAUUCCCAGUGUAGAGGUGAAAUUCGUAGAUAUUGGGAAGAACACCGGUGGCGAAGGCGGCGACCUGGUCCUUUACUGACGCUGAGGCACGAAAGCGUGGGGAGCAAACAGG
rnacentral:rRNA from 1 species